rnacentral:lncRNA from 1 species
GGAAACAUAUGCCUGGAGUGACAGAGCCUUCCUCCACCGCUUAGCCCCAGCAGGCUGCAGACCCUAUGGCAGCCCCAACUCCACACCAACCUCUUACCUUCCACCCUGCACACUGCAAAGGGCAGAUUGGUGGGCUUCCUCCACUCAGAGAUGGGGGGAAGGAGGAAUUUCAUUCCAAAGAAAACCUAAGGAACUUCUCUGCCCCAGGAGCCCUCCCCUCUCACUGUGGGUUCUGAGGAAACUCUCAGGGGAAGACAGCUCUUCAUACCCUCACAUAACCCCACCCACACACAGGCCCAGAGACACCUACAGACACACCCCCGCCCCAUCUCUCACACUC